rnacentral:rRNA from 1 species
AGUGAACGCUGGCGGUAGGCCUAACACAUGCAAGUCGAACGGCAGCACAGUAAGAGCUUGCUCUUACGGGUGGCGAGUGGCGGACGGGUGAGGAAUACAUCGGAAUCUACUUUUUCGUGGGGGAUAACGUAGGGAAACUUACGCUAAUACCGCAUACGACCUACGGGUGAAAGCAGGGGAUCUUCGGACCUUGCGCGAUUGACUGAGCCGAUGUCGGAUUAGCUAGUUGGCGGGGUAAAGGCCCACCAAGGCGACGAUCCGUAGCUGGUCUGAGAGGGUGAUCAGCCACACUGGAACUGAGACACGGCACAGACUCCUACGGGAGGCAGCAGUGGGGAAUAUUGGACAAUGGGCGCGAGCCUGAUCCAGCCAUACCGCGUGAGUGAAGAAGGCCUUCGGGUUGUAAAGCCCUUUUGUUGGGAAAGAAAAGCAGCAGGUUAAUACCCCGCUGUUCUGACGGUACCCAAAGAAUAAGCACCGGCUAACUUCGUG